GUGCCAGCCGCUGCGGUAAUACGGAGGGUGCAAGCGUUAAUCGGAAUUACUGGGCGUAAAGCGCACGCAGGCGGUCUGUCAAGUCGAAUGUGAAAUCCCCGGGCUCAACCCGGGAACUGCAUUCGAAACUGGCAGGCUGGAGUCUCGUAGAGGGGUAGAAUUCCAGGUGUAGCGGUGAAAUGCGUAGAGAUCUGGAGGAAUACCGGUGGCGAAGGCGGCCCCCUGGACGAAGACUGACGCUCAGGUGCGAAAGCGUGGGGAGCAAACAGGAUUAGAUACCCUGGUAGUCCACGCCGUAAACGAUGUCUAUUUGGAGGUUGUGCCCUUGAGGCGUGGCUUCCGGAGCUAACGCGUUAAGUCGACCGCCUGGGGAGUACGGCCGCAAGGUUAAAACUCAAAUGAAUUGACGGGGCCCGCACAAGCGGUGGAGCAUGUGGUUUAAUUCGAUGCAACGCGAAGAACCUUACCUGGUCUUGACAUCCACAGAACUUAGCAGAGAUGCUUUGGUGCCUUCGGGAACUGUAGAGACAGGUGC
rnacentral:rRNA from 1 species